AGAGAGAGAGAGAGAGAGAGAGAGAGAGAGAGAGAGAAAGGAGGCGAUGCGCCUUCAAAAACAUGUCCACUUUCACGGGACACGAAAACGGGCACGAAAACUACCCGGAGAUCGG